GAAAAGUAGUGUGAAUUGCAGAAUUCAGUGAAUCAUCGAAUCUUUGAACGCACCUUGCGCCCCUUGGUAUUCCAUGGGGCAUGCCUGUUCGAGCGUCAUUUUGUACCCUCAAGCACUGCUUGGUGUUGGGCGUUUGUCCUGCAAAGGACUCGCCUGAAAGCGAUUGGCGGCCAACGUACUGGUGGUAGAGCGCAGCACAAUUUGCGUCUCUCCCUUCUACGUCGGCGUCCAUGAAGCCUUAUUCAAACGUUUGACCUCGGAUCAGGUAGGGAUACCCGCUGAACUUAAGCAUAUCAAUAAGCGGAGGAAAAGAAACCAACAGGGAUUGCCCUAGUAACGGCGAGUGAAGCGGCAUCAGCUCAAAUUUGAAAUCUGGCUCUUUCAGAGUCCGAGUUGUAAUUUGCAGAGGGCGCUUUGGUGUCGGCAGCGGUCCAAGUUCCUUGGAACAGGACGUCACAGAGGGUGAGAAUCCCGUACGUGGUCGCUGACCUACACCGUGUAAAGCCCCUUCGACGAGUCGAGUUGUUUGGGAAUGCAGCUCUAAAUGGGAGGUAAAUUUCUUCUAAAGCUAAAUACUGGCCAGAGACCGAUAGCGCACAAGUAGAGUGAUCGAAAGAUGAAAAGCACUUUGGAAAGAGAGUCAAACAGCACGUGAAAUUGUUGAAAGGGAAGCGCUUGCAGCCAGACUUGCUUGUAGUUGCUCAUCCGGGCUUUUGCCCGGUGCACUCUUCUGCGAGCAGGCCAGCAUCAGUUUGGACGGUUGGAUAAAGGCCUCUGUCACGUACCUUCUCUCGGGAAGGCCUUAUAGGGGAGGCGUCAUGCAACCAGUCUGGACUGAGGUCCGCGCAUCUGCUAGGAUGCUGGCGUAAUGGCUGUAAGCGGCCCGUCUUGAAACACGGACCAAGGAGUCUAACAUCUAUGCGAGUGUUUGGGUGUCAAGCCCGAGCGCGUAAUGAAAGUGAACGGAGGUGGGACCCCGCAAGGGUGCACCAUCGACCGAUCCUGAUGUCUUCGGAUGGAUUUGAGUAAGAGCAUGGCUGUUGGGACCCGAAAGAUGGUGAACUAUGCUUGAAUAGGGUGAAGCCAGAGGAAACUCUGGUGGAGGCUCGCAGCGGUUCUGACGUGCAAAUCGAUCGUCAAAU
rnacentral:misc_RNA from 1 species